rnacentral:rRNA from 1 species
UUAGUGGAAGCGUCUGGAAAGGCGCGCGAUACAGGGUGACAGCCCCGUACACAAAAGCGCAUGUGCUGUGAGCUCGAUGAGUAGGGCGGGACACGUGGUAUUUAGUGGAAGCGUCUGGAAAGGCGCGCGAUACAGGGUGACAGCCCCGUACACAAAAGCGCAUGUGCUGUGAGCUCGAUGAGUAGGGCGGGACACGUGGUAUCCUGUCUGAAUAUGGGGGGACCAUCCUCCAAGGCUAAAUACUCCUGACUGACCGAUAGUGAACCAGUACCGUGAGGGAAAGGCGAAAAGAACCCCGGCGAGGGGAGUGAAAAAGAACCUGAAACCGUGUACGUACAAGCAGUGGGAGCCCCACCACCAAAGCAUUCUCUGGUGUUGAAGGCCCUGCAAAGCAGCAUCGCGGUGGCGGAGCGUCGUUUGCGACGCCCAACACACAAAACAAGCGGUGAGUGCUUUGGGGUGGGGUGACUGCGUACCUUUUGUAUAAUGGGUCAGCGACUUAUAUUCUGUAGCAAGGUUAACCGAAUAGGGGAGCCGGAGGGAAACCGAGUCUUAAUUGGGCGUUAAGUUGCAGGGUAUAGACCCGAAACCCGGUGAUCUAGCCAUGGGCAGGUUGAAGGUUGGGUAACACUAACUGGAGGACCGAACCGACUAAUGUUGAAAAAUUAGCGGAUGACCUGUGGCUGGGGGUGAAAGGCCAAUCAAACCGGGAGAUAGCUGGUUCUCCCCGAAAGCUAUUUAGGUAGCGCCUCGUGAAUUCAUCUCCGGGGGUAGAGCACUGUUUCGGCUAGGGGGCCAUCCCGGCUUACCAACCCGAUGCAAACUGCGAAUACCGGAGAAUGUUAUCACGGGAGACACACGGCGGGUGCUAACGUCCGUCGUGAAGAGGGAAACAACCCAGACCGCCAGCUAAGGUCCCAAAGUCAUGGUUAAGUGGGAAACGAUGUGGGAAGGCCCAGACAGCCAGGAUGUUGGCUUAGAAGCAGCCAUCAUUUAAAGAAAGCGUAAUAGCUCACUGGUCGAGUCGGCCUGCGCGGAAGAUGUAACGGGGCUAAACCAUGCACCGAAGCUGCGGCAGCGA